UAACUGUGCCUCUGUGGGUUAUGUUUCUUCUGGCCCAAAGAACUUGCUUCCAAAGCUGAACCGUGAGGCUUUGUAUUUUGGGCCUGUUUUCAUGGGGUGUGUGCCCAACAUGGUGGUAGGUCCAAGAAAUCCACUCUAAAGGACAAGGCAUACACAGAGGAGUGUGGAUAAAAGACGUAUCACUGUCCUGACCGUAGUUUUAAGACUGUUUAAGAGGGUGAAACCCAUCUGUCCCCUUCUUGCCUUGUCUUCUAUCACAUAAUAUCGAGCUGCUGAGGGCCACUAUGACCUGAGCAUUCACUGCAAGACGGGGAGAGGAAAAAGGAGCAAGAUACAGCAUCUCUGAGCUUCAAAAGUAGAGGUGGAGAAGUGGAGAUUUGCCUCCUGCCUUUCCUAGCCCAGCCCUGACCACUCCACUUCAGUCUGGAUCACAGUAGCAGAUGAGACUCGAGUUUGAAGCCUUGUGAAGUGUCCUCACAUACUGAAGUUCCUCAGGGGGCAAGUUGAACAGGAUAGAUGCUAGCUCUGAUGGUGCAUCCAUUAGUGGUGGGAAAUGGGUCUUAUUGUCCUGACCUGCAAAUGUAGGACUGUACCAGGCAUAACCAAAAGGGUUUUUUGUCUUUAUUUGCAGGAGCUCUGUUUUUCCAACUCUGUGUGCUAUUGAUUUGGUGUAUGGAUGCACUAGUGAAAGGGAGCUGACAGCUUUACUUUCUAUACCCUGAUGCUUGCUUCCAAAGGCUCAUCUGAACUUCCCUCAGUAUCCAGAAUGACUUAGCUAAAAUGAUAACAAAGACAGACAUGCAGGCAUCUGCAGUCUGAUACAGCUCUGGCUGUGCCAGCCCAAAACCACAUUGCUGUCUUAGACAUGAAAUGGAUUACGGGCACGUUGUGUGCUUUACAUCUUUUUUUUUCAGAACAUUUGGAACGGCAGAGGGAGUGCAAGAGCAAGGAAAAAGAAGUGAACACACUGAAUGUAAGAAGUUUGGUCCCCCAGGUGAAUAAAACAACUGCACGGAACAGAAGCCAAGUGCCACAUCAACAUGUUUCUUGAACACCUCCUGGAAUGGGGACCCUACCACCUCCCUGGGCAGCCUGUUUCAAUACCUCACCACUCUUUCUGAGAAGAAAUGUUUCCUAAUACCCAGCCUGAACCUCCCCUGGCACAACCUGAGGCCGUUGCCUCUCAUCCUGUCACUUGUUAUCUGGCAGAAGAGGCUGACUCCAGUCAUCUUUUGUAGAGGGAAGACUCAGCAUCCUCUCUCUAGCAGGCUCUAGGUCCUUAAACAUUAGGUAAACAAGCAGUGUCUAGGAGCAGACUUGAGCACUGGAAUUUGUCUAUCCACCCUGGUUAAUUCAUAGGGUGUGUCCUGAAUAGUUCUGGUCUGGGGCACACAGCACAGUCCUUUGGCAUAUACUGGGACUCCCCUUGAUGGAGUCCAGCUAAUCCAGUCAUGCUUGAUUUACUUGGACACACAUACCUUGGAGAGAUGGCUUGGACUUCAGCAGCCAUUGUGUGGUCCACAGAUUGUCUGGGCACCUGGUACACUAUUGAAGGUGUCCUGGUAUCCUUAUGUAUUACCAGGUAGGCAAGUGGACACCAAAUGGGAUGUAGCCCAUUAAGCUACAACUAAGCCCUCCUAGCUCAGAAUCCAGACUGAAAGUGCUUCAUACAGGUCAGAUAGAAAUCAGCAUUGCUACACAUACACACAAAAGGUAAAAACACAUAAGA
rnacentral:lncRNA from 1 species